CCCUCAGAUGUUCUGGGCCGCACGCGUGCUACACUGAGUGGAUCAGCGGGUCAGGUUGCGCGAAAGUGUUUCCUAAUCUUUAAAUCCGCUCGUGAUGGGGAUUGACGGUUGCAAUUUUCCGUCAUGAACGAGGAAUACCUUGUAAGCGCGGGUCAUCAUCCCGCGCUGAAUACGUCCCUGCCCUUUGUACACACCGCCCGUCGCUCCUACCGAUUGAGUGGUCCGGUGAGGCUUUGGGAUCUGAGCGGAAAGAGCGUUUCGCUGUUUCUGCCCGGAAAACUCAGUCGAACCUUACCAUUUAGAGGAAGGAGAAGUCGUAACA
rnacentral:rRNA from 1 species